rnacentral:tRNA from 1 species
ACCCGGCUGGCUCAGUUGGUAGAGCAUGUGACUCUUGAUCACAGAGUCAUGAGUUCAAGCCCCACGUUGGGUA